rnacentral:rRNA from 1 species
AGUGAACGCUGGCGGUAGGCCUAGCACAUGCAGGUCGAACGGCAGCACAGUAAGAGCUUGCUCUUACGGGUGGCGAGUGGCGGACGGGUGAGGAAUACAUCGGAAUCUACUUUUUCGUGGGGGAUAACGUAGGGAAACUUACGCUAAUACCGCAUACGACCUACGGGUGAAAGCAGGGGAUCUUCGGACCUUGCGCGAUUGAAUGAGCCGAUGUCGGAUUAGCUAGUUGGCGGGGUAAAGGCCCACCAAGGCGACGAUCCGUAGCUGGUCUGAGAGGAUGAUCAGCCACACUGGAACUGAGACACGGUCCAGACUCCUACGGGAGGCAGCAGUGGGGAAUAUUGGACAAUGGGCGCAAGCCUGAUCCAGCCAUACCGCGUGGGUGAAGAAGGCCUUCGGGUUGUAAAGCCCUUUUGUUGGGAAAGAAAAGCAGCAGGUUAAUACCCCGCUGUUCUGACGGUACCCAAAGAAUAAGCACCGGCUAACUUCGUG